rnacentral:rRNA from 1 species
UACGUAGGGUGCGAGCGUUGUCCGGAAUUAUUGGGCGUAAAGAGCUCGUAGGCGGUUUGUCACGCCUGCUGUGAAAUCCCGAGGCUCAACCUCGGGCCUGCAGUGGGUACGGGCAGACUGGAGUGCGGUAGGGGAGAUUGGAAUUCCUGGUGUAGCGGUGGAAUGCGCAGAUAUCAGGAGGAACACCGAUGGCGAAGGCAGGUCACUGGGCCGCAACUGACGCUGAGGAGCGAAAGCAUGGGGAGCGAACAGG